UAGAUUGGGUGGAGAAGUUGAGUAUGAUUUGAGUGUCAUACUCAGCUCUGCCAGAUUCAGACCUGGCACCUGUGCAGGAGAGGAGAGACUUGUUCCCAGCGGUGAUUUCAAUGAAUGACCCUGCUUGGAGUGACAUCCACCAACAGCCCAGCCAGAAGAGGUGAAAGGAAACCAGAUGCCCCAGCAGCAGAAAGCUUAGCUGGGAACCCAGGCUCUGGGACGAGAAGAGGCACACCCAGCCGGGCUCAAUUCUGACCCUUUGCUGAACUCAGUCUUGCCCCUGCCUAGAUCAAGGGCUAAGCCAGUCCUCAUCGUCAGCACAACAGAGUAUCGAGAGGAAGACUGCGGCUGCUCUAAUUGCUAAGAAGGCUCUUGCCCUCAAAACCCUGAAACACCAAAGCCCGAAUCCUUCCCGAGAAACACCGACCUCUCUCUCGGGCCCAGUCAUGCCCACUGCCCAAGUGCAGCAACCGGGAGAGCAGAGAUUGUUUCUCAUCAUCGCCAAGGGCCAUGGAGGAGAGGAUGCGAGGAGACUCGCCUAUGAAUGAGGGCUUCUAUCUCACAUGUCCUCAGCCUUCUCGUGUUGGGCUUGACUUUCCGUCCUCAGUCUUGUGGUUGGCUGAAAUGUGGGCAUGUGGGUGGUAGGCAGGGACAGAUGCCCUUCUCUCUCUUUCAGAUCAUUCCCCCUGCUUGGCUGGGAUGCUUCUGUGUUCCCUGGAGAUGACAGCUAGGAACCUGGCCACCAGCUUCUGUGGUUCCCUGGGUUCCUUUUGGGCUUGGCCAGUGUGAGGCAAGGGCAAGACAUCAGAAGCUGAGAGAGCAUCUCUUCCCCAUUGCUGCCUUUGUUGCCAUGCUUUGUCCCUGACAGGAGCUAUGCCCCUCCAUUUUGUGGCUCUCCCAGGUGACAUCCUGUAGGGUCUCAGCUCUCACCAGACCAGCCACAUUAUUUCUUCCCUUGGCUCCUCUGGGCUCCAGGAUGACAGCAUCUCCCUGCUAUGACCAGUUCCCAGUGGGAGUUGGGGGUGGGGACUCAGCAUUCCUGACACCUCCUAACCAUCUAUAAACUAUCCCUCUACUG